AUGAAAAUUUACAUUGGAACCAAUCUUCCUGCCGAAAAUUUUGAGAACUUAAACUUCCCUCUCUCUUUCCAAAACGUUGAACUCUGCAUCCUCAUUCCCUCCCAUCAGCGCUGCCCUGUUUUCCCUCAAUAUUCCACCCUAAUUAGCAGCUCAACAUUUUGGAAUUAUUUCUCAUCAUGCUCCGAUCAAGUCUCCCACUCCAAAAGAGAGAAGCUGCUGUAGCCAACCUGCAGCCAUGGGUGGAACAUUCGUCGUUCUCGAAAGCACAGACCGAAUGCACCACGAGAUUGACAGCCGAUUGCUCCAACAUUGAGCAACUGGGAUGAGAGGAAGGAACCAGGAAACUCAAGCUUGCCUCUACAAAUGGAAGAUCUUAGCUACCACGUAUCAGAGUUUCUUCUGGGUAAUUUCAUCUUAGUACUGACAUGUCUUUGAGCUUGCUUCUCUUCCCUGCUUGUAUUUAAAGUAUAGAUAUGGUUUUUUUUUGUUAUUUUGUUAAACAUGGGUAUAAAGUAUAUGCUGUUAGUUUGAUAGAUCUUAGGAAACGUAAAGAAAAAUCCAGAGUCCUUGAUGUUGAUUACAGUGAUGAAGAAUUUACAGAAACUAGGUUAUGUGCUUAAGGUGAGUGGUUCUUACAUUUCUGUAUUAUUUUUAUGAUCACUGUUGUAUUACCACAAUUGUUUCUCAAUUUAUGAGAUAAACAUGUUUAAACACUUAUUUAAUGUGUAGUUGAAGUUAGGUGUGAAAGGGGUGUGUUGGUAAAAGUUUACGCACUGAUCCUUCACUAAGAUAUAUCAUUUUAUAAAUAUAAUUGGGGGCAUCAAGUUUUUUAAUGUUCUGAACAAUAUUUUCCAGCCCAUUAGAUUUCAAGUAAUUUUGCUUCUUUUCUCCUCCUUCUUGCUACUUUGGUGUAGCCUUUAUAUACAUCCUAUGUAGUGUGUACUCAGGUUAUGCCUCUUUGGGCUUCUAAUGAAGUUUGCAUUAAAUAUAAAUAGUGUUUUAAGCCUCCAUUUCUGAAAGGCUUAUGCAUUCUCACAAUGACAGAUUUUUGCAACAGCGUGGGACUAUGCUGUAGCUAUGCAUGUCAUUGGACCACUGCUAAUAAAGUAUGCAAGGUAGAAUGAUUCUGGAGGCUCCUUUAAAUUUUUGUUUUUGUGUGGUAAUUCCACUGAUGGGUAUGAUGAUUCUUUACACGUAUCAGUUGCUCAUUGGUGCAUUAUUAUAGAUUGUGCUCUUACUGUUAUUAUAUCACUCUUUUACUAUUCAGCUACUCUUUAAACUUGCAAGUGCCACUCUUUCCAAACUUGUGAAUGACACUCUUUUACCUUAUUCAGCAUAAUGGCUAGCAAAAGUCCAAUAAGCUAAACGAUUGCAGCUCAAUGUUGUAAAGUUCGCCUCAACUUUUUAAUUGGAUGAGAUUCAUUUCAAGUAGUCUAUGAUUUGAUCACAAUGUAUAUAUGCAAUUUUCUGCUUAAAUUUAGUUUCUAAUUCAGUCUAUUUGGCUUUAGUGGUUUGUGAAACUGAACAACGUAAUGUCUCUUUUGUUUUCAAAGCCUAGUAAGGAAAUUCUUGAAGCACUUGGUUCUAGAAACUUACCAUUUGUAGUACCUUAAUAAAUAUAUACAUGCAUUCACAAAAUAUAAUUAUUUUCUUUUUUGUUGAAUGAGUAAUAUUGAGAAAGGAGAAUAAUCUAUUGAAGCCUUGGAAAGAUGAAGAUAAUUUAUCAUGUUAUGGUGCCAUUCAAAUUUACCUUGUGUAUGGUCAAUCUUUUUAUAUUUGUAACUCAUUCCAUGACAUCAUUAUCUAGCUUGAGUAUUCUCUGUGGAUUGUGAAGUAAUUCUCUAAUUUUUCAUGUAUGGGUUGGCUUCAUGUCUACGACUUCUUCAUGGUUCUCUAAGGCACUAUGGCUUGAAUAGUGAUGUGAAUGGUGUGUUAUUGAUGGCUGACAUUGUUCUCUAUGCUUCCAACCAAGAUUUACAGGGUUUUCCUUAUUUGCUUAUCUGAGCCAUGAUCUUUUAAUAUCCCUGUUAUUGCAUCUGAUUUUCCAUCUUCAUAAAAUAUGUGAGUUCAUUCAAGUUGUUCCCCACUUGCUUUAAUGAUUGCUUUAGUUUACAGGGCCCCUACAUUUCUCUUUCUUACAUUUGUGAGGUGGUCCUUGAAAGAACAGGUUGUCUUUUUCAAAUUGGGUUUCUUCUCUAUGUUUCUUUUUAUAGUUAAUAUUUGCUUUCUUAUGCUACAAGUUCUGCAGUAGCUUAGGAAAAAAGCUUUUGAAGCAUGCUAAGUUAACAGAAGACCAAGGAGUAUGAAAAAACAGAAGACCAAGCGUUGUAGUUUAUUGUUGUGUAUUGGAGUUUGAUUAAAUCAAUGUAUUUUUUUGUAAUGAUCUUUGCAAAUUA